rnacentral:rRNA from 1 species
GACGUAGGGCGCAAGCGUUGUCCGGAUUUAUUGGGCGUAAAGAGCUCGUAGGCGGUUUGUCGCGUCUGCUGUGAAAACUGGAGGCUCAACCUCCAGCCUGCAGUGGGUACGGGCAGACUAGAGUGCGGUAGGGGAGAUUGGAAUUCCUGGUGUAGCGGUGGAAUGCGCAGAUAUCAGGAGGAACACCGAUGGCGAAGGCAGAUCUCUGGGCCGUAACUGACGCUGAGGAGCGAAAGCAUGGGGAGCGAACAGG